AAGUCGUAACAAGGUUUCCGUAGGUGAACCUGCGGAAGGAUCAUUACCUAGAGUUGUAGGCUUCGCCUGCUAUCUCUUACCCAUGUCUUUUGAGUACUUACGUUUCUUCGGCGGGUCCGCCCGCCGAUGACAAUUUAAACCCUUUGCAUUUGAAAUCAGCGUCUGAAAAACUUAAUAAUUACAACUUUCAACAACGGAUCUCUUGGUUCUGGCAUCGAUGAAGAACGCAGCGAAAUGCGAUAAGUAGUGUGAAUUGCAGAAUUCAGUGAAUCAUCGAAUCUUUGAACGCACAUUGCGCCCCUUGGUAUUCCAUGGGGCAUGCCUGUUCGAGCGUCAUUUGUACCUUCAAGCUUUGCUUGGUGUUGGGUGUUUGUCUCGCCUUGCGUGUAGACUCGCCUUAAAAUAAUUGGCAGCCGGCGUAUUGAUUUCGGAGCGCAGUACAUCUCGCGCUUUGUUUUCAUAACGACGACGUCCAAAAGUACUUUUUACACUCUUGACCUCGGAUCAGGUAGGGAUACCCGCUGAACUUAAGCAUAUCAAUAAGCGGAGGAAAAGAAACCAACAGGGAUUGCCCUAGUAACGGCGAGUGAAGCGGCAACAGCUCAAAUUUGAAAUCUGGCGUCUUUGGCGUCCGAGUUGUAAUUUGCAGAGGGCGCUUUGGUAUUGGCAGCGGUCCAAGUUCCUUGGAACAGGACGUCACAGAGGGUGAGAAUCCCGUACGUGGUCGCUAACCUUUACCGUGUAAAGCCCCUUCGACGAGUCGAGUUGUUUGGGAAUGCAGCUCUAAAUGGGAGGUAAAUUUCUUCUAAAGCUAAAUACUGGCCAGAGACCGAUAGCGCACAAGUAGAGUGAUCGAAAGAUGAAAAGCACUUUGGAAAGAGAGUUAAAAAGCACGUGAAAUUGUUGAAAGGGAAGCGCUUGCAGCCAGACUUGCCUGUAGUUGCUCAUCCGGGUUUUUAUCCGGUGCACUCUUCUAUAGGCAGGCCAGCAUCAGUUUGGGCGGUUGGAUAAAGGUCUCUGUCAUGUACCUCUCUUCGGGGAGAACUUAUAGGGGAGACGACAUGCAACCAGCCUGGACUGAGGUCCGCGCAUCUGCUAGGAUGCUGGCGUAAUGGCUGUAAGCGGCC
rnacentral:rRNA from 1 species